rnacentral:lncRNA from 1 species
AUGAUCGAUAUUUCUCUGGGCCACUGUGGAAGCCCAUUGGUCAGGACCUUUCAGGUCAGAGACACGGAGACGGAGGAGGGAUUUGUCUCUGGCUGCCCAACGUCAGGGCUUGGACUGGAAUCUGGGAGCCCCAACGCUACCCCCUGCUCGUUUCUGGAAUAUGGCAGACAAAAACUUCCGGGCCUCAUGUUCUGCCUUUGGGCACGUGCUGAGUCUUCUCUAAUCGGAUGUUGCAGAGGAAGGCUAAUUAUUUCCUGGAGGUCUCUGUUUACUAAAGUCAGCAUCAAGCCAGAUCACAAGUAUCGGGGAAUGUUCAUGGACCAGAAUAAAGCACUGGAUAGCAGGUUCCCAUGGAAUUAUCAGAAAACAUGUUGCUUUGCUUAA